UCUCUCGACUCUCUCUCUCUCCCCUCUCGACUCCGCCGCCGGCGCCGCUGCCCCACGCCGGCCCGUCGCCGCCCACCCUCGCUGCUGCCCCGCGCCCUAGUUCUUCUCUGUUCGAUUGGUCGAGCCCUAGUUCUUCUCUGUUCGGUACAACGCAGCCGUCGCCAUCUCAGGGAGACCGGCGAGCUACGCGACCUAGAGCCCGCCCAUCGUUGCUGGUGGUCCGAGGAUCGGCGAGCCGAUGGUGUUCUACGGCCGGUUCUCUUCUCAACUCCACAUAAUCGAGGCAGGAAAGGGGGAAAGCCCUAAUUCUCCGAUUUGCAAUCGAGAGCGGAUGAGGUUGAUAAUUCUCC
rnacentral:lncRNA from 1 species